CCAGUGAGGGAAUUUAAGGAUGGCACAUUGUCCUUGUAACGGGGAUCCAGCAGGGUGGCCACCCAGUAAUCAGCACAAGUUAGAAUGUGGGCAACUUGGCAGUCGUUGCGCAGGCACUUUGGUGACUCUAGAUAACCUCGGGCCAAUCGCACGUCCCCGUGACGGCGACGAUGCAUUCGGAUGUCUGCCCUAUCAACUUUCGAUGUUACUUUCUGCACCUUCCAUGGUGACCACGGGUAACGGGGAAUCAGGGUUCGAUUCCG
rnacentral:rRNA from 1 species